GGAAAAGCAGUGGGGAGAUUUUAAAGCUCCCUUUCACCUUGAUGUGCACUACAUCCUGGGAUGCUCUGGGGUGAAAUAAAAAAAAGUGACUGCAUGUCAAAUUGAUGCCUGCUGGCUCCUUUCCAGUACCUCAUGUUCACAGCAAGCGUUCUGAGCGUUUGGAGGAAUAUGUUCCUCUGCAUAAAUACUGAAGCUGAGGAACUCAUCUCCUAAAUUGAUGUUCAUACUGCAUAUAAGAAAGCAAAAUUCCCACUAGCAGCUCUUGGGGGUGCUAGACUAUGCCCCACUGGCAAGGGAUCUCGGGAGAGAACUGUGAUGCUUUUGUUCACCAAACAAAACCUGAUUCAUCACUUUCCUUACAUCACCACCCAGCUCUUUAGCUUCUCAACACAGACUGGUAUGGCUUCCCUUUAGAAACAGCACUGAAUACAGGCUUUAUGACUUACAGAUCCUGCACUGUUGCCCCUGUCCUCAGCCUCAGCACUGAACCAACCCCACAAAGGACUGCAAAAAAGUGACUCAUGGUUCUUCCUCCAUGUACAUCAUGAGAAGACAAGCAGGCCCUAGAAAUGAAGCUGAAAUUCUGAAGCCUUAUUUGACAGUUGCUUCAUGCUCUUGUGAUAAGUGGGGUACUGGCAAGUAUUAGUGAACAGUGAUGCAGCAGUGAGUCAGAUGAGGCAGGCAGAAUGAUGGGGUGGCUGGGGGCUGGGGAAGCCAUUGUUUUCCUAUGUUCUCUGAAGGAGUCCAGGGUUGGAAGCUGUGAAUUUACCCUGGAUACAAACACAGAAUUAGGUGAUAGUACAACAGUUAUGAUAAAAGUUAACACAAACCGCCUUUUUCUUCUGGCGUUUUAAAAACCUUGGGUACUUAGACAAGGGUAAUUUUGCAAAGCAGAAUGUGUACAGACACCCACACCCUUUAUUUUCAUCUCUACUUCAUAAAGAUGUUGUGUUGAGGCUAUACAUUGUUAAUACCUAUGCCUGUGAACCCUCCAGCUCUCAUUAGAGAGGGCAGGAAAAAAGCAAUUACUAAACUGGCUAGGCCAACCCUUGUGAACUACAGGAUUUUCCAGUUCAGCGUAUUCCUUCAUUCCUCACUGCUGCAGAGUUUUUUUUUCAUGUCCCUGGCAAUGUGGCUUUGUAAUUUUUCAAACAUUAAA